UCGCCUCAGCAGCGGCGCGGGAAGCGAGCGGGCUGGGGGCGCUGGGCUCCGCUCCCCGCCACGGGGCCGCGCACCUCCGGCCACUGCCGGCACCGGCUCCCUCCCGCCCUUCCUCCCGCGCCGCCGGCCAAUGCGGGCCACGGGCGAGGAGCCAGCCGGCUUUAACCAUCUGUUGCGAGGCGCCUCCUCCAAGCGCGGCCGCCUCCCUCGCCGGGGGACUCCCGCCCAAGCACCCCGCUGAGGAGUUGAUUCUCCACAGAAAUUCCAGGGAAUGAGAAGUUAACUUUAUUUCAAGAGGUUCCAGGGUAAUAAUUUUAUGAAGAUGUGUCAAGAGAAUGAUGCAAAUUCUUUUCAAUAUUCAACAACUUAAAGUUAACAAAACAGUCUUGAGAUGCAUGCUGUGGAAAGAAAAAAAGGUACCAAAUAUUCGCAUAAAAAGAUGCUCUUCAUCUGAGUGCUUUGCAUGCUGUCAUCAUAUAUAUAAGACAAACAAAGGAUGGUCCAUAGGCAAACAACUCACCUCUGAAACAAUGAAAAUAUAAAUAACUUGUUCAGUUGUACAAGAAAUCUUGGCAGAAUCCAUAAGCAUAUACAGUCCAAUUCAUCAAGAUGCACCUGUCUGGAUGCAAUCACUUGCACUGACUGCCUUCACUUAGGAUGUGCUUUUUGGGGGCAGAGGCCAGCCUUCUUUGAAGAGAUGAUGGGGCAUAUUAAGUAGCAUUGUAAGUAACAGAAGAUAUAUUUCUAUCAACAUUACAAGAUGACAGGAAUCAUCUU